AUUGAUCUGAACUGAGAUGGAGCGAGGAGCAGGCCAGCAACUGUGACCCGGCACCUAACCUAGAAAGGGGGCUAAAAAGCACCAAUAAGAGACAAUUAUGUUCUCAAGACCUUCCCUCAGGGAGAAAUGUUCUGGUCUGUCAUUUGGGGUGAGGCGGUGAGACCAUCAAGGACAGAGAAUCAAAAGUCUUCCUCUGGGGAGGGUGUCUGAUCAGCUCUAGGGGCAUUGGCUUUUCUGGGAAGCUUUGCAAGCUUUGGUCUUGAAUACAGGUUGAGCAAUUAGUUACAGAUUAUUUUGUUGGAAGGGUCGCCAAAGGGACAGCCCUCCUGCAGCACCUGCCUCAGAUACAUCCCACCAUACAGGCCACUGAGAUGGCCCUAUGAGUUGACACAGAGCCAGGGAGGCCAGCAGACACGGACAAAGGCCGGGAAGCUUACAAAGGAGCAGUCAGCCCAGGAGGAGGGCUGCAGUGAGGCCACAGAAGUCCAUGGU
rnacentral:lncRNA from 1 species